rnacentral:rRNA from 1 species
UGAGGAAUAUUGGUCAAUGGGCGAGAGCCUGAACCAGCCAAGUAGCGUGCGGGAUGAAGGCCCUAUGGGUUGUAAACCGCUUUUACAGGGGGAUAAAGUGAGUCACGUGUGAUUCAUUGCAGGUACCCUGCGAAUAAGGACCGGCUAAUUCCGUGCCAGCAGCCGCGGUAAUACGGAAGGUCCGGGCGUUAUCCGGAUUUAUUGGGUUUAAAGGGAGCACAGGCCGGCUGUCAAGCGUGUUGUGAAAUGUAGGGGCUCAACCUCUGAACUGCAGCGCGAACUGACGGUCUUGAGUGCGU